rnacentral:rRNA from 1 species
UACAUACUGUGCGAACGUUAUUCGGAUUCACUGGGCUUAAAGGGUGCGUAGGUGGCUUGUUAAGUAGGAUGUGAAAUCCCUCGGCUCAACCGGGGAACUGCAUUCUAAACUGGCGAGCUAGAGUGAGAUAGGGGUGUCCGGAACUGCCAGUGGAGCGGUGAAAUGUGUUGAUAUUGGCAGGAACGCCGGUGGCGAAAGCGGGACACUGGGUCUCAACUGACACUGAGGCACGAAAGCCAGGGGAGCGAACGGGAUUAGAAACCCGAGUAGUCC